CUGCCUGGUUCAAGUAAUCCAGGAUAGGCUGGUUAACACUGGCACGGCCUAUUCUUGAUUACUUGUUUCAGGAAC
rnacentral:pre_miRNA from 16 species